rnacentral:rRNA from 1 species
CUUUACUGUAGCCUGGUAUUGGGUUCGGGCUUUGACUGCGCAGGAUAGGUGGGAGACUAUGAAGCUGCCCUUGUGGGGGCAGUGGAGUCAUCAGUGAGAUACCACUCUGUCAAGGCUAGAAUUCUCACCGUCUGCCGUUAUCCGGCGACGGAACAGUAUCAGGUGGGCAGUUUGACUGGGGCGGUCGCCUCCUAAAUGGUAACGGAGGCGCGCAAAGGUUCCCUCAGGCUGGUUGGAAAUCAGCCGAAGAGUGUAAAGGCAGAAGGGAGCUUGACUGCAAGAGCAACAACUCAAGCAGGGACGAAAGUCGGCCUUAGUGAUCCGACGGCGCUGAGUGGAAGGGCCGUCGCUCAACGGAUAAAAGUUA